rnacentral:rRNA from 1 species
AUUGAACGCUGGCGGCAGGCCUAACACAUGCAAGUCGAACGGUAACAGGAAGAAGCUUGCUUCUUUGCUGACGAGUGGCGGACGGGUGAGUAAUGUCUGGGAAACUGCCUGAUGGAGGGGGAUAACUACUGGAAACGGUAGCUAAUACCGCAUAACGUCGCAAGACCAAAGAGGGGGACCUUCGGGCCUCUUGCCAUCGGAUGUGCCCAGAUGGGAUUAGCUAGUAGGUGGGGUAACGGCUCACCUAGGCGACGAUCCCUAGCUGGUCUGAGAGGAUGACCGGCCACACUGGAACUGAGACCCGGUCCAGACUCCUACGGGAGGCAGCAGUGGGAAAUAUUGCACAAUGGGCGCAAGCCUGAUGCAGCCAUGCCGCGUGUAUGAAGAAGGCCUUCGGGUUGUAAGUACUUUCAGCGGGGAGGAAGGGAGUAAAGUUAAUACCUUUGCUCAUUGACGUUACCCGCAGAAGAAGCACCGGCUAACUCCGUG